UUCCCAUAUCAAGGUCAUCAGAAAGAGUAAGCCCACCGUAAGUACUACGUCUGCUCCUCCCCCUAGCAAUUUCAGCUUUUACCCACCUUGCAGAAGCAGCAGAUGUGUCAACCGUAGGAUCACUAACGUUUUCAACUUCGUUCCCGUCCAUGUUUAGGUCACCGGUCAUUUUACGGGAGCCAUCAGUUUUUACAAGGUUUGCUUCAAGUGAAUUUAGGUAGUUAAGAUUCACCAGGUGGCUAGAGGUUAUAGGGCUCUGCGUACAUGUAGGCAUAUUACGGAAAUUAACAGUACCACCAACAUUUAAAGAUCCUGUUCCAUCCAACCGUAAAAAUGUUCCUUCAUUUAAAUUAAACCAGCUUUUUGUAACAACAGACUGGGGAGUAGUGGGAUCAGCAACAUUUUCAAUUUUAUUUCCACCCAUAUCAAUAUCACCUGUCAUUGUAAAACCUGAAGCCCUAAGUGUAGAACCAUACGUAGACAAUUUAUCUUCCACCCACUUUUUAGAUACAGCCUCACUGUCUAUUUUAGGAUCAAUAAGAUCAAACAACCUCCAGCCUCCCAUGGACACAUCUGCCUGCAUAAUUCCACCUUUCUUUACAAAGUUAUUAUCAACGGCCCACUUCUUUGUAACAGCAGACUGAUCCUCAGAAGGGUCCUUAAGAUUCUUAAUCUCGUGGUCCUUCAUAUCGAUAUCACCAGCAAUAUUAAGUCCACUAACAGGUCUAUUUAGCAUUCCAAUUACCCAAUCCUUAUGAACAGCAGACUUUCCUGUUGUGGGGUCACCUAAAGCUUUUACUUCAUUGGUAGACAUAUUGAGAUCACCUGACAUUGAUACUGAACCGUCCAGUGGAAGGAAUCUACCAUUU